rnacentral:lncRNA from 1 species
CAAGUGGCGGAGCCGGGAAUCGAAGCCACGACCUCUGACGCCCAAGGCCGGGCUCUUUCCACCGAUGCCGUCGUUACUAAAGAAGUGUUUGGGGGUCGGUGGGGCUGGGAAGGGGGCGUCAUCCCCUUUAAGGCAACCCCCCCCCCCGGGGAAAAAAAGCGUCCUCCGACGUUUUGGUGGGGAGGUGGCCUCCCCUUUAAGGGAGCGUGGAGGCUUCUGGGAGCGGAGUCUUGCUCAUCCCGAUCCCGCUCCCGCUCCCGCCGGUCCUGCUGGGAUGGAGGCGGCGGAGCCGGGUCGGGAAGGCCGGGCUCGGUGAGGCGGAGGCGGCGUCCUGCUCAGGUAGCGGGCCGAGGGGCCGCGGGGGAGAGGGAGGAAGGGAAGGAGGGAGGGAGGGAGCCCCCCCCCCUUGGGUGGUCGGAGGGGGCAGGUCCUCGCCCAGCCGCGGGGGCCGGAGCACCCCUCUCUCCGGAGGGAAGGGGCGGCCUGCGGGCGGAGGAAGGCGGCCCGGGAGGCAAGGGGUUGGAAGGGGCCGGGCCGGGCCGGGCCGGGGCGCCCAGAGGGGAGGCGGUCGGGCCGGGUCGGGUCGGGCCGGGCCAGGACCGGCCCUUAGCGACGGGAGACUCCCCGCCCCGCCACGCCCCGCCCGCCGAGGGAGGGGGAGGAGGAGGAGGAGCAGGAAAGGCAGAGCUGCGCCGUAGCCGAGCGCCCUCCGGCCGGGGCUCGGGGCUCGGGGGUCCCGCGGGGCCGAGCGUGGCCGAGCGGAGCCGAGCCGGGCCGAGCCGGGCCGAGCGGAGCCGGGGGGACCCGAGCCGCAUUGCGUCUCCCGGGCCGCCGGCCGCCGAGGCGCGCCCCCUGCAGGCCCACGGAGGCACCGCGCCCGGACCCCCGGACCAUCCCCUCUCCCUCCUCCCCCCCUCCUCUCCAACUACCCUUUCCAGCUUCUCUCCCCCUUCCUCUCCCUUCUCUCCUCCCCCCUCCUCUCCAACUACUCUUUCCUGCUUCUCUCCCCUCUCCUCUCCGCCUCUCCCCUCCUCGGCCUUCGCUCCUCCCCCCUCCUCCCUUCUCUUCUCCCCCCUCCUCCCUUCUCUUCUCCCCCCUCCUCCCUUCUCUUCUCCCCCUCCUCCCUUCUCUUCUCCCCCCUCCUCCCUUCUCCCCCCUCCUCUCCCCCCCUUUUCCUGCUUCUCUCCCCCUCCCCUUUCCCUCCUCUGCCCCUCCCACCUUCUCUUCCCCCCUCCUCCCCUUCCCCUCCUCUCCUCCCCUUCCCCUCCUCCUCCUCUCCCCUCCCACCUUCUUUGCCCCCCUUCUCUCCCUCUCCCCCUUCCCUCCCUUCCACCCGCCGAACCGGGCCGUCCCCCUCGGCCACCCCGAGACUUCUGA